GACGAACGCUGGCGGCGUGCUUAACACAUGCAAGUCGAACGGAAAGGCCCCCCUUUUGGUGGGGGUGCGCGUGUGGCGAACGGGUGAGUAACACGUGGGUGCUCUGCCUUGUACUUCGGGAUCAGCAUGGGAAACUGGCUAUAACACCGGAUAGGAUCCUGGUUUAGUGUCUCAUGGUGGAAAAAUUAUUGUUUGGGUGCAGACUGAGCUCGCGGCCUGUUAGCUUGUUGGUGGGGUAAUGGCCUACCAUGGAGGCGUCGGGUAGCCGGCCUGAGAGGCUGGCCGGCUGCAUUGGGAAUGAGCUACAGCGCGGCCUAGUACGGGAGGCGGCAGUGAGGGAGGUUGGACGAUGGGCGUAAGGCUGAUUCAGCGGCGCCGCGUGGCGGAUGACGGGCGUCGGGUAGUAAACUCCUUUCGUUAGGAACGGAGCCACACCUUUGUUGGGUGUGGUUGCGGUUCCUUUGUUAAGAAGCACCGGCUAACUACGUG
rnacentral:rRNA from 1 species